rnacentral:rRNA from 1 species
GACGAACGCUGGCGGCGUGCUUAACACAUGCAAGUCGAACGGAAAGGCCCUGCGUUUGUGGGGUGCUCGAGUGGCGAACGGGUGAGUAACACGUGAGUAACCUGCCCUUGACUUUGGGAUAACUUCAGGGAACUGGGGCUAAUACCGGAUAGGAGCUCCUGCUGCAUGGUGGGGGUUGGAAAGAUUCGGCGGUGGGGGAUGGAAUGGCGGCUUACCAGCUUGUUGGUGGGGUAGUGGUAUACCAAGGCUUUGACGGGUAGGCGGCCUGAGAGGGUGGACAGGGACAUGGGUCCUGCGGGAGGGACCAGUCGGGUAUGGGAGGCAAUGGGGGGAAGUAUGACGGAGCGAGGCGGCGUCAGAUACGGCGACGCCGGGAGCGGGAUAAUCUGUUACUGGUUGUAAACCAAUGUGGCAUGUGACGAACCGUGAUUGACGGUAACGAGUAAGAAAGCCACGGCUAACUACGUG